UAUUAUUUUUCUCUAUUAUUUGUGGACGAUAAAGAGUCAAUGCUUGGCUUUUAUUUGGCAUAAUUAACUCAGUUUGUUUACAUUUGUUAGAUAUGGCGUUUUAAAUAAACGGUAUAGAGUCGUCGUCACUCUCCUUAUAUAAUAUGAAAGAAAUGUAAAAAGGUUUUCAUUUGCACUUUGAAACUUUUGACAUGUUGGUCUAGAUGUCCUAGGUCUAGAUUUGGCUUGAGUUAAUGAUUAUAAUAAAAACGCCUUUGAUAAAAGUAUGCUUACAAAGGAGUAUCGAAUUUGUAUGCCACUAACUGUGGAAGAGUACAAAAUCGGACAACUGUACAUGAUUGCACGGCAUAGCCUUGAGCAAUCAGAUACAGGUAAUGGCGUAGAAGUAAUUGAAAAUAAAGAGUGCCUGGACCCUGUACACGGUAAAGGACAGUUUACAGAAAAACGGAUCCAUCUCUCGAGUGUUCAUUUAUACCGAAGCUUCAUAUAACGAUACUUACUAAAUUUGAAAAUAAUGCUGGCACUUCUGAAAAUUGUCUCAACCUACCUCAAGAAAAACUAGAAGAACGAACGGUUGAUUUCGUAGACAUUGCGUUCGACGAGUUAAAUACAAAGCAUUAUAAGAAAGAGGAAGAUCCAAAAUUCUUUAAGUCAACCCUUACCGGGCGUGGUCCGUUGGUAGAAGGAUGGAGACAAACUGAUGAGCCGAUAAUGUGCUCGUACAAACUGGUGCAGGUAUCGUUUGAAGUUUGGGGACUGCAGACAAAAGUGGAAGGCUUUAUACAUAAUUCCGGGCUCGUCCCACUGUGAAUUGGCCUCUCGGCCAAAUCAUCUAAUGUCAUCCCGGAGCCGAUGGCAGCGUUCGUGUCGUCACGCUUCGAACCGCGACAGGCAAGGAGCUUGUACGUCCUGUGGCCAGAAUCGCUCUACUACCGACACCACCAACUCAACAGGCCGAGUGAAAUAUGUCAUCCAGGUAGAGCAACCCGGACGGGGAGAAAAUUCUCGAUGCGCCCCUGCGCAUUGCACAGGUAAUUGCAAUUUCAAUCCCCUAACUCCAAUCGUUCGAUCUACCUGGUCUUUUUUUCUCGGUCGAUGGCGAUGAACUCCAAGGGCAAUGGUUACCUGUCACUGGACUUGUACUAGAGUAAGGUGGGGUAAAAGUACGCGUGGGGCAAAAGUGCGCAUAAGACUUUAAGAAGCACACAAGCGCUAGAACCUGGCAACUCUGUAUGGAUUUAGUUUAUCAUUAAGUCAACUAAUCGCACAUAUAAGCAUGAAAGGUUUGAAUAUAGUGGCUUGAAAUUAAGGGGGAAGGACCAUUUUUCGCUGAUUUGAUAUUAUUUUUUGAAUUUUGGGAAUCAUAAAUUAGCUGUUUGAAUAAAUCAGGAUCUAUAAAACUACAGUACCCUAAAAAUCUUCAACACAUGGUUCGUUGCGAGAUAUAUUUGAUUUAAUGAAAAAAAUUCAGUAAUUUUCGUAACAAUUGAAUAAGUUAAAAAACUGACAGUGGGGUAAAAGUGCGCAUAGCAUAUCCGCCCCAAAUCAAAAGACGCGAGUGAAGCUUUUUAUAUAAAAAUUGAACUAAUUCUUCCAUGAUUUAAAGAAGGGAUAAGCAUCUUCAAUAACUGCGAGCUCACCGGUCAAAUUACGACUGAUAUGAGCGGUUUAGGAGCAAAAGUAUCAGCAUAACUGGUUGCAAGGAAAAAUGUAGAGUGCCGAAAGCUCAGAGUAAUUAAAAAGAACCAAAAAACUAUGAAUAUGUAAAUAAAGAUGUAUUUCCAAUAUAAAUAGCAUAUUCGCAAGAAUUCUUGUAGUGAUCUACCCAACUAUGACAAAUAAUGAUGUUACCAGGGGUGACAGUUUGAUCAUGAACCACAUUGUCUAAAAGAUGAAACAUCCAAGUUUUUUCAACAUAAUGGAAAACUGAACAACAUCAACCGAGGCAGAGGGAGGGGUACUUUUUAGUUAUGAAGGAAGAGUAAGAGGGGAUGAAUAUCCUAAAAUAGAUUAGUUUAAUUUAUGGGCGGAAGUAAAUCGGCUAUUUAAGCUGUGCGCACUUUUGCCGCGUGCUAUGCGCACUCUUGCCCCGACCAUGGGGCAAAAGUACGCAUUUGAGUAUUCAUAAGAAAAUAACUAUUUCUCGGAUUACAAGCAAAACCAAGAGAUAUCUAGUAUUACGUUUGGAAGAUGUGUGAUGAGAGCAAUAAUUUGUAAUCAUGCCGAUUUUCUAGUGCUUUUCUACCGAUAGUUAUUUUACGAAAACUGUUAGGUGCGCACUUUUGCCCCACCUUACUCUAGUCAUUCAACAUGACCAGUUCAGCACAAAUCAUCCGCAAUCUCGAGGUUCACAUCCCAGCGUACCAUCCGCUGGUUAAAACCGAGUUCACCGAUUUUCGACAACUGGAACACAAUCACUAGCAGACUUUUUUGAAUUAUUUUUUUGAAACACCGUCAUGUUUCAAGGUGGCCGGAAUGUUCGGCAUGUAAACUAAAUUUGUAUAUAUCUAAUACUAGACUUAAGAAUUGAACUACACUUGAAUUACCUAAAUUGUAAAUAUUGAAUCAACUUCUAGUGCACCUCGAAAUAACAACCUUGCAACUAGAAUUUCAAAAAUUAUGCCAGCUACUCAGUCUGUGCAAAAUGAGACGAACGCUACUAUGCACGCUCUCCAGUGUAACAGGUAGUAGAUGGAGAGAGAAGAGAGUGAAAACAGCGCGAUCACAGCUGAUCCCGGCUGGUUAUAAAAUGUAUAUAGUUUAGUUGAAAAUAAAUCUCUUGGUGGAAGGUCGAUUCUGUGUUCUGUGUCUUGUGCAGAAAAGAAAGCCGUCGGUAGGCAAUAAAAUUUCAAAGUCCCUAGCGGGUUGGUGGACUUAGUGUUUUUUGUUCGUAUUUUGAUACAGUGAGCCAUAGUGCGAUUUUGGCUAAGUCCCCAAUCGAAGGGCAGACUUUAGUUUGCAGUGCGCGUUGCAAACAUUAAGCAUAAGUUCUCUAGCGAAAAGUGAACAGUUCGGUGCGGUCAAUUUCGCGAUUUGUGCAGUCGGUGAUCGCGUUGGAACGGUGUGCGCGAUCAAUGCAAUAAACCGGCCAAAUUGAAGACAAAAACUUGGUUUAAUUGGUCGUGUUUACUAUUGUUUUCCGUACACGCUUGUGUGUUGCUAGUCCA